GGUUUGAGGUGGCUGAGAUGUCCAGAGUGACCAAGGACUGGUGGGUUGAGGUGGCUGAGAUGGCCGGAGUGACCAAGGACUGGGGGUUUGAGGUGGCUGAGAUGGCCGGAGUGACCAAGGACUGGUGGCUGAGAUGGCCGGAGUGACCCAUGGUGGUGAUGACCAAGGCUCAGGACUGGGGCACCAGGAUGGGCUGGACAUCCGUGGUGGUCAAGGGUCAUCCUGGCCACUCAUCAUUGGCCAAAAAAGGUCACAGGUCACCCUGUGGUUGAGGUGACUGUGGUGGUCAAGAUGUCCAGAGUGACCAACAACCGGGACUAUCUUGGUCACCACUGGCCAAGGAGAAGGACAGCCUUGGUCAUGCUGACCAUGGUGGCCAACUCAACUGGGUUGACCAAGACAUGAGAGUGACCAAGGACCAGGUGUUAAAGAAGCCGGUGGGGGUGUCCAGAGUGGUCAGUUGUCCAUGGUGGCAUUUGGCCAGAGUGACCAGUGACCAGGAACUGGGAUGGUCAAAGCCAGGGAGAUGAAAGUGGCCAAGACACUGAGGGUGGCCGAGGGCCAAUGUCAGGGGGACCAGAGUGGUUGAGUGGCCAAGACAUCCAAGGUAGCAGAUGGUCAGUUUGACCAUGAGGUGGUCACCAUGGACCAGGGCACCAGGGAGGGACAGGGAGACCAUGACAGACAAGACCUCU